GAUGAACGCUGGCGGCGUGCUUAACACAUGCAAGUCGAACGUGAGGGUGUAGCAAUAUGCCUGAAAGUGGCGAACGGGUGAGUAACACGUAGAUGACCUGCCCUGGAGUGGGGGAUAACCAUUGGAAACGGUGGCUAAUACCGCAUACAUCCAUAUUUCUGGGAAGAGAUGUGGGGAAAGCCCUGGUGCUCUGGGAGGGGUCUGCGUCCGAUUAGCUAGUUGGUGAGGUAAAGGCUCACCAAGGCGACGAUCGGUAGCUGGUCUGAGAGGACGAUCAGCCACACGGGAACUGAGACACGGUCCCGACUCCUACGGGGGGCAGCAGUGAGGAAUAUUGGGCAAUGGGCGAGAGCCUGACCCAGCAACGCCGCGUGGAGGAAGACGGCCUUCGGGUUGUAAACUCCUUUGACAGGGAAGAGAGAGGACGGUACCUGUCGAAUAAGUCACGGCUAACUACGUGCCAGCAG
rnacentral:rRNA from 1 species